UACGUAGGGGGCAAGCGUUGUCCGGAUUUAUUGGGCGUAAAGAGCGUGUAGGCGGCCAUUCAGGUCAGCUGUGAAAACUCGAGGCUCAACCUCGAGACGUCGGUUGAAACCGUUUGGCUAGAGUCCGGAAGAGGAGAGUGGAAUUCCCGGUGUAGCGGUGAAAUGCGCAGAUAUCGGGAAGAACACCCGUGGCGAAGGCGGCUCUCUGGGACGGUACUGACGCUGAGACGCGAAAGCGUGGGGGAGCGAACAGG
rnacentral:rRNA from 1 species